AUUGAACGCUGGCGGCAGGCCUAACACAUGCAAGUCGAACGAGUGGCGGACGGGUGAGUAAUGUCUGGGAAACUGCCUGAUGGAGGGGGAUCACUACUGGAAACGGUCGCUAAUACCGCAUACCAUCAGAUGUGCCCAGAUUGGAUUAGCUUGUUGGUGGGGUAACGGCUCACAAAGGCGACGAUCCCUAGCUGGUGUGAGAGGAUGACAAGCAACACGGGAACUGAGAGACGGUCCAGCCUCCUACGGGAGUCAGCAGUGGGGAAUAUUGGACAAUGGGCGCAAGCCUGAUGCAGCCAUGCCGCGUGUAUGAAGAAGGCCUUCGGGUUGUAAAGUAUUUUCAGCGGGAAGGCGUUACCCGAAGAAGAAGAACCGGCUAACUCCGUGCCAGCAGCCGCGGUAAUUC
rnacentral:rRNA from 1 species